rnacentral:rRNA from 1 species
CCUACGGUGGGCUGCAGUGAGGAAUAUUGGUCAAUGGGCGCGAGCCUGAACCAGCCAAGUCGCGUGAGGGAAGACGGUCCUAUGGAUUGUAAACCUCUUUUGUCGGGGAGCAAAAGACGCCACGCGUGGCCUUCCGAGAGUACCCGAAGAACAAGCAUCGGCUAACUCCGUGCCAGCAGCCGCGGUAAUACGUAGGAUGCGAGCGUUAUCCGGAUUUAUUGGGUUUAAAGGGUGCGCAGGCGGAAGAUCAAGUCAGCGGUAAAAUUGAGAGGCUCAACCUCUUCGAGCCGUUGAAACUGGUUUUCUUGAGUGAGUGAGAAGUAUGCGGAAUGCGUGGUGUAGCGGUGAAAUGCAUAGAUAUCACGCAGAACUCCGAUUGCGAAGGCAGCAUACCGGCGCUCAACUGACGCUCAUGCACGAAAGUGUGGGUAUCGAACAGGAUUAGAUACCCUAGUAGUC